GAUGAAGAACGUAGUGAAAUGCGAUAAGUAAUGUGAAUUGCAGAAUUCAGUGAAUCAUCGAAUCUUUGAACGCACAUUGCGCCCGCCAGUAUUCUGGCGGGCAUGCCUGUUCGAGCGUCAUUUCAACCAUCAAGCCCCCGGGCUUGGUGUUGGGGAUCGGCGAGCCUCCGCGCCCGCCGUCCCCUAAAUCUAGUGGCGGUCUCGCUGUAGCUUCCUCUGCGUAGUAGCACACCUCGCACUGGGAAACAGCGCGGCCACGCCGUUAAACCCCCAACUUCUGAACGUUUGACCUCGGAUCAGGUAGGAAUACCCGCUGAACUUAAGCAUAUCAAUAAGCGGAGGA
rnacentral:misc_RNA from 1 species